rnacentral:rRNA from 1 species
GUGUCAGCCGCCGCGGUAAUACGGAGGGGGCUAGCGUUGUUCGGAAUCACUGGGCGUAAAGCGCGCGUAGGCGGAUCGGCCAGUUGGGGGUGAAAGCCCGAGGCUCAACCUCGGAAUUGCCUCCAAUACUGCCGAUCUCGAGUCCGGGAGAGGUGAGUGGAAUUCCUAGUGUAGAGGUGAAAUUCGUAGAUAUUAGGAAGAACACCAGUGGCGAAGGCGGCUCACUGGCCCGGUACUGACGCUGAGGCGCGAAAGCGUGGGGAGCAAACAGGAUUAGAUACCCUGGUAGUCCACGCCGUAAACGAUGGAAGCUAGCCGUCGGCGAGCAUGCUCGUCGGUGGCGCAGCUAACGCAUUAAGCUUCCCGCCUGGGGAGUACGGUCGCAAGAUUAAAACUCAAAUGAAUUGACGGGG